rnacentral:rRNA from 1 species
UACGGAAGGGGCAAGCGUUGUUCGGAAUCAUUGGGCGUAAAGGGCGCGUAGGUGGUUCUGUAUGUCUACCGUGAAAGCAUACAGCUCAACUGUAUUUUGUCGGUAGAAACUGCAGGACUUGAGGCUGGGAGGGGCUGGUGGAAUUCCCUGUGUAGCGGUGAAAUGCGUAGAGAUGGGGGAGAACACUCGUGGCGAAGGCGGCCAGCUAGACCAGUUCUGACACUGAGGCGCGACAGCGUGGUGAGCAAACAGG